CAGCAGAGGACAGGAAUUCUUUCUGGAGAUCCCUGUAUACCUGAGGUCUUCUAAUGGAGGAAGCUACUGGGUGCAAUUAAUAGAUUACUUCUUCCUGAAGAAGAAUGUUGGCUGUACCUUCUGCGAGUCAUUGCCAAUUUGUCUGUGAAUCAUUUAUUAGCUUUUGCACCAAAGAAAUGAACUGUAUGUGAAAAGAGUGGAACACAGCAGGCAUACCAGCUGAGCACAGCAAAUGGACAGAUACUGAGGUCUCGCAUAGAGCUGUGUGAGAUCUGCACCAUCCCAGUCCCAGGAAAAGUCAUAAGCCUCAACAUCAGAGAGCUUCUCUUAGCGCAACCAGCCAAAGGAAUGAGGAAAAGCAAACCCUAUGGCAUUUGAACUAAAAGGAUGAGCUCUACGGCUGCCACAUUUUAAAAAGAAUAAUGUACUUUAAUUUUAUUUGAAUCUAAAAACCAGUAUGCCUUGUGGAAGGAUUUGUUUCUGAAAACAUUUUUACUCUCUACUGUUUGACUGGACUGUGAGUUCAACAUAAAGCAUCACAGGAUCACAGUAAAUACUCAAUCAAAUGAAAUUAGGAUUCUCUGUGCUGCUUCAACUGGAUGCGUUUUUCUUUAUUUUUGAUUUUAUGGGUGCGGAGAUGGCAGACAGUCUUUUUAAUAGCAUUAAUUCAAUAUUUUUCUCUAAUCCUACAGUUAAUUAUAUUUCCAAAACAAGUAAAGUAUUUCCACAUGUAUG